GGGGGGUAAUAAGGGGUAAGUCUAGUCAGUUCAUUGAGAUGGGUCAGGGGGGGUAAUAAGGGGUAAGUCUAGUCAGUUCAUUGAGAUGGGUCAGGGGGGGGGGGUAAUAAGGGGUAAGUCUAGUCAGUUCAUUGAGAUGGGUCAGGGGGGUAAUAAGGGGUAAGUCUAGUCAGUUCAUUGAGAUGGGUCUGGGGGGUAAUAAGGGGUAAGUCUAGUCAGUUCAUUGAGAUGGGUCAGGGGGGGUAAUAAGGGGUAAGUCUAGUCAGUUCAUUGAGAUGGGUCUGGGGGGGUAAUAAGGGGUAAGUCUAGUCAGUUCAUUGAGAUGGGUCAGGGGGGG